AGAGGAAGUAAAAGUCGUAACAAGGUCUCCGUUGGUGAACCAGCGGAGGGAUCAUUACAGAGUUACAAACUCCAAACCUUUGUGAACAUACCUACGUUGCUUCGGCGGCCUCGCCCCGGGCGUCGCGGUGCCCUAACGGGAGCCGCAGCGGCCGGACCCAGGCGACCGCCGGGGGACCCAAACUCUUGUUUUUACAGUGAAUUCUGAGUGGCAUAAGCAAAAUAAUCAAAACUUUCAGCAACGGAUCUCUUGGUUCUGGCAUCGAUGAAGAACGCAGCGAAAUGCGAUAAGUAAUGUGAAUUGCAGAAUUCAGUGAAUCAUCGAAUCUUUGAACGCACAUUGCGCCCGCCAGUACUCUGGCGGGCAUGCCUGUCCGAGCGUCAUUUCAACCCUCAGCACCCGCCUUCGCGGCGGGAGCUGGCGUUGGGGAUCGGCCGCCCUCAGCGGCGGCCGGCCCCGAAACGAAGUGGCGGCCGCGUCGCGACCUCCUCUGCGCAGUAGCGAUACCUCGCAGCCUGGAUAGCGGUGCGGCCACGCCGUAAAACCCCAACUUUACCAAGGUUGACCUCGGAUCAGGUAGGAAUACCCGCUGAACUUAAGCAUAUCAAUAAGCGGAGGAAAAGAAACCAACAGGGAUUGCCUCAGUAACGGCGAGUGAAGCGGCAACAGCUCAAAUUUGAAAUCUGGCCCCCAGGCCCGAGUUGUAAUUUGUAGAGGAUGCUUCUGGCGACGCGACUUCCGAGUUCCCUGGAACGGGACGCCAAAGAGGGUGAGAGCCCCGUCCGGUCGUUCGCCUAGCCUCUGUGAAGCUCCUUCGACGAGUCGAGUAGUUUGGGAAUGCUGCUCUAAAUGGGAGGUAUACGUCUUCUAAAGCUAAAUACCGGCCAGAGACCGAUAGCGCACAAGUAGAGUGAUCGAAAGAUGAAAAGCACUUUGAAAAGAGGGUUAAAUAGUACGUGAAAUUGCUGAAAGGGAAGCGCUUAUGACCAGACUUGGGCCAGGUGAAUCAUCCGGCGUUCUCGCCGGUGCACUUUGCCUGCCCAGGCCAGCAUCAGUUCGCUCCGGGGGAUAAAGGCUUCGGGAAUGUAGCUCCUCCGGGAGUGUUAUAGACCGUUGCGUAAUACCCUGGGGCGGACUGAGGUACGCGU
rnacentral:sRNA from 1 species